rnacentral:rRNA from 1 species
UACCCGCAGCACAAGUGGUGGUCAUUAUUAUUGGGCCUAAAGCGUCCGUAGCUGGCCUGGUAGAUGCCUGGGUAAAUCGAAUCGCUCAACGGUUCGAAUUCCGGGUAGACCGCCAGGCUCGAGACCGGGAGAGAUGUGGGCUACUCGAGGGGUAGGGGUAAAAUCCUGUAAUCCUUCGGGGAGGACCAGUGGCGAAGGCGCCACAUUUGAACGGCUCUGACAGUGAGGGACGAAGCCCUGGGGCGCAAACCGG